UGUGAACYGCAGGACACAUGAACAUCGACAUUUUGAACGCAAAUGGCGGCCCUCG
rnacentral:rRNA from 1 species